rnacentral:lncRNA from 1 species
GGGAAUGGAUGAAGAUAACCCUAUAGGACUCACUUGGAUUACCCCCGCAGACUCUUUAGUGCCGGACUACACCACCACAGUUGUCUCUGCCUUAAGUUCAGACCGUCAAAGGUCGAUCAUACUCCCACCAGGAUGCUAUGUCAGGUCCACAAGCGGAUGAGGCUACAACUAUAGGAUAUACCCUGCCGCCUCUUGCUCAGGCCAAUUCAAGAACUUGGAAGCUUUCAGGAUGAAGCUUGGAUGGUCGCCCUGGUCCAUGCUAUGAAGAGAAUGAAGACUUUGAGAUUUUAAUUCGUUGUGUGCCAACAUCAGGAUGUAUGAUGAUCA